rnacentral:rRNA from 1 species
GACGAACGCUGGCGGUGUGCUUCAUACAUGCAAGUCGAACGAUAAGGCACCUUCGGGUGUACAUAAGUGGCGGACGGGUGAGUAACACGUAGGAAAUCUGCCCUAAGGAGGGGGACAACAUCGGGAAACUGGUGCUAAUACCCCAUAUGUGGCUAGCUGAAAUGCUAGUCAUGAAAGUUCCGGCGCCUUAGGAUGAGCCUGCGUCUGAUUAGCUAGUUGGUAGGGUAAAGGCCUACCAAGGCGACGAUCAGUAGCUGGUUUGAGAGGAUGAUCAGCCACAAUGGGACUGAGACACGGCCCAUACUCCUACGGGAGGCAGCAGUAGGGAAUUUUGCGCAAUGGGCGAAAGCCUGACGCAGCAACACCGCGUGAGCGAUGAAGCCCUUUGGGGUGUAAAGCUCUGUCAGUAGGGACGAAUUUUGACGGUACCUACAGAGGAAGCACCGGCUAACUCCGUGCCAGCAGCCGCGGUAAACGUAGCGUG